UCACUGCUCUCAAGCCAGAAACAGCUCCUCUCCUCCAACCUACACGAGCUCUCCUCCCUGCAGACCCCAAGAUCUUCCCCCAGAGAACAGGGCUGCCAGGUUCAAUCUCAGAGAAGAUGUGUCACUUUCUUUAGUACUGGGAAAUGAACCCAGGAUCUUGCCACUGAGCUACCCAGCCCUUUUAUUUUGAGAUAGGGUCUUGCUAAGUUAUGCAGUCUGGGUUUGAAUUUGCACUCCUCCUGCCUCAGCCUCCGAGACUGCUGGGAAUUACAGCUCAGCAGGUGCCAGCCCCCUGGGAAAGUCGGAGGGAGAGGCAAUCCAAAGGCAGCCAACGACGAACCUGUGAGAGCGGGUGAUACCCAGGACAAGGAGGGAGCGAACCUCCCCUUCACCCACCGCAGAAGGACCGAGUUUGCUGGUGAUGGAUGAGGAUUUAGUGCCUUGAGAUCCCUGGAGCCCAGGAAAAAAACCCAGCAAAACCUCAGAUCUCUCUCAGAACAUGAUGCAUGAGCCACUUAACAGCAGAAAGAUGAGGAAAGUGCCAUCAGGUGCUCAAAAUGCAAUUAUGAUUGGAAAAACCAAAAACUGCUGGUUCGUUCCUAGCAGGUCCCUGAUCACCGGGAGGCAUGGGCAUCGCUAACCUCCAUCAUGGAAACUUGCCAGGCCGCAGGAGAUCAGACCAUUCCUUCUCAGAAAACACAGUGUGUUUCCUUCAUUCUUCAUCAGAAGCACUGCAUAUUAUUACCAAUAACACAGCUGUACCAUAUCAUCCUUAGAGCCCGCCCUGUACCCGGCUUGCUUGGACAUGUGACCACUUCAGUGCAUGAUUCCAGUGGCCGUUAUCAGAGAGCUUAGUUGACUUGCUCAAGGUCACACAGUGAGGAAGUCAUGGGCAGGCUAGAAUCCAGAUCUCAGGAUUUCUUACCCACAUCUAUUCACAAUCACCUUUCAGUAGAAUUUCUGGAAACUGUUAAAAUAGAUGGCCUGAAACAAGUGAUAUUUUCUUCUAAAAAGGCUCUGUAAAAAUCUCAGGGUUGGUAAUCAUGAGGAAUCAAUUACUCUCAAACAAAUCCCAUUUCAGUCAAAUUUUGCAGGCUGCCCAAUCUUUCCUACACUCCAAUUCAUUGUGUCUGCUGCUACUCGCAUUAUCUGGCUGCAAGACAAAUCCCAUCUUGUCACUCUCUAGGAUGAAGACCUCCAUCAGCCUAUGCAUCAGCGACAGGGCAUUGUCCCUGCCUAAUACAUUCUUACCUCGCUCUGUGGUGUGAUAUCCUAUUCUCUUGUCCCCAGUCCUGAAAACUAA